UUGUUUGUGGUUGUCCUUCUGGGUUUACAAGGAUACCAGCGGAUAGUGGCAAUUGUUAUUUCAAAGGUGACUUAUUUACGAAUUGGCAACGAGCACAGCUAAAAUGCAAAGGAAAGGAUGCAUACCUCUGGGAACCAAAUACUAGUGAAGAAGCAAAUGAUGUUAUAAGAGAGCUACUAGGAAACGGAAUUGAUUGGUUUUGGACAGGUGCUUCUGAUCAGGCUAACGAAGAUAUCAUACCUACUUUUGAACAAGGUUCUGGACUUCCGUUUAAUCUAUCAGCCAGAGGUGAUGGUCCAAGAUAUGACUGUGUUAGAUAUGAACAAGAGUUUGUUUUUAGAAGUUGUGAAUUUGGCGGGAAAUGUGUUUGUGAAAGGAGUUUUCCUUGCGAAACAACAGCACCAUAGAGUCAACGCAUAUAUAUAUCUCCACCAAUUAGUUACGUAUAAGAGAUA